rnacentral:rRNA from 1 species
CUACGGGGCGCUCCAGUGGGGAAUAUUGCACAAUGGGCGCAAGCCUGAUGCAGCCAUGCCGCGUGUAUGAAGAAGGCCUUCGGGUUGUAAAGUACUUUCAGCGGGGAGGAAGGGAGUAAGGUUAAUACCUUUGCUCAUUGACGUUACCCGCAGAAGAAGCACCGGCUAACUCCGUGCCAGCAGCCGCGGUAAUACGGAGGGUGCAAGCGUUAAUCGGAAUUACUGGGCGUAAAGCGCACGCAGGCGGUUUGUUAAGUCAGAUGUGAAAUCCCCGGGCUCAACCUGGGAACUGCAUCUGAUACUGGCAAGCUUGAGUCUGGUAGAGGGGGGUAGAAUUCCAGGUGUAGCGGUGAAAUGCGUAGAGAUCUGGAGGAAUACCGGUGGCGAAGGCGGCCCCCUGGACGAAGACUGACGCUCAGGUGCGAAAGCGUGGGGAGCAAACAGGAUUAGAUACCCCCGUAGUC